rnacentral:tRNA from 1 species
GAAGGUUACAGCUCAAGUGGCAGAGUGCGUGCUUAGCAAGCAUGAGGUCCUGGGUUCAAUCCCCAGCACCUCCU